rnacentral:rRNA from 1 species
AGUGAACGCUGGCGGUAGGCCUAACACAUGCAAGUCGAACGGCAGCACAGAGGAGCUUGCUCCUUGGGUGGCGAGUGGCGGACGGGUGAGGAAUACAUCGGAAUCUACUCUGUCGUGGGGGAUAACGUAGGGAAACUCACGCUAAUACCGCAUACGACCUACGGGUGAAAGCAGGGGACCUUCGGGCCUUGCGCGAUUGAAUGAGCCGAUGUCGGAUUGGCUAGUUGGCGGGGUAAAGGCCCACCAAGGCGACGAUCCGUAGCUGGUCUGAGAGGAUGAUCAGCCACACUGGAACUGAGACACGGUCCAGACUCCUACGGGAGGCAGCAGUGGGGAAUAUUGGACAAUGGGCGCAAGCCUGAUCCAGCCAUACCGCGUGGGUGAAGAAGGCCUUCGGGUUGUAAAGCCCUUUUGUUGGGAAAGAAAUCCAGCUGGCUAAUACCCGGUUGGGAUGACGGUACCCAAAGAAUACGCACCGGCUAACUUCGUGCCAGCCGCCGCGGUAA